GAAGCUUGCUUCUCUGAUGUUAGCGGCGGACGGGUGAGUAACACGUGGAUAACCUACCUAUAAGACUGGGAUAACUUCGGGAAACCGGAGCUAAUACCGGAUAAUAUUUUGAACCGCAUGGUUCAAAAGUGAAAGACGGUCUUGCUGUCACUUAUAGAUGGAUCCGCGCUGCAUUAGCUAGUUGGUAAGGUAACGGCUUACCAAGGCAACGAUGCAUAGCCGACCUGAGAGGGUGAUCGGCCACACUGGAACUGAGACACGGUCCAGACUCCUACGGGAGGCAGCAGUAGGGAAUCUUCCGCAAUGGGCGAAAGCCUGACGGAGCAACGCCGCGUGAGUGAUGAAGGUCUUCGGAUCGUAAAACUCUGUUAUUAGGGAAGAACAUAUGUGUAAGUAACUGUGCACAUCUUGACGGUACCUAAUCAGAAAGCCACGGCUAACUACGUGCCAGCAGCCGCGGUAAUACGUAGGUGGCAAGCGUUAUCCGGAAUUAUUGGGCGUAAAGCGCGCGUAGGCGGUUUUUUAAGUCUGAUGUGAAAGCCCACGGCUCAACCGUGGAGGGUCAUUGGAAACUGGAAAACUUGAGUGCAGAAGAGGAAAGUGGAAUUCCAUGUGUAGCGGUGAAAUGCGCAGAGAUAUGGAGGAACACCAGUGGCGAAGGCGACUUUCUGGUCUGUAACUGACGCUGAUGUGCGAAAGCGUGGGGAUCAAACAGGAUUAGAUACCCUGGUAGUCCACGCCGUAAACGAUGAGUGCUAAGUGUUAGGGGGUUUCCGCCCCUUAGUGCUGCAGCUAACGCAUUAAGCACUCCGCCUGGGGAGUACGACCGCAAGGUUGAAACUCAAAGGAAUUGACGGGGACCCGCACAAGCGGUGGAGCAUGUGGUUUAAUUCGAAGCAACGCGAAGAACCUUACCAAAUCUUGACAUCCUUUGACAACUCUAGAGAUAGAGC
rnacentral:rRNA from 1 species